CAAAAACAUGUCCUUUUGUUUUUAAAUUUAAGGUCUGACCUGCCCAAUGAUUAUAAUUUAAUGGCCGCGGUAUUUUAACUGUGCUAAGGUAGCAUAAUCACUUGUCUUUUAAUUAAAGGCUAGAAUGAAUGGUUGGACGAGGCAUAAUCUUUCUUUAACUUAUACUAUUGAAUUUAAUUUUUUGGUUAAAAAGCUAAAAUGUCUUUGAGGGACGAGAAGACCCUAUAGAUCUUCAUAUUUUUUUAUAUUAUGUAUAUUAGUGAAUUAAUUAUUUUAAUAUAAUUAAUUAUUUGGUUGGGGUGACUGUAGAAAUAAAAUAACUUCUAUUCUUACUUUUCAUAAAUUAGUGUAUGUUUGAUCCAUUAUUAAUGAUUAAAAGAUUAAGUUACCUUAGGGAUAACAGCGUAAUUUCUUCGGAGAGCUCUUAUCGAUGAAGGGGUUUGCGACCUCGAUGUUGGAUUAAAAUAAGUAAUUGGUGUAGUAGCUAAUUUACUAGGUCUGUUCGACCUUUAAUUUUUUACAUGAUCUGAGU
rnacentral:rRNA from 1 species